UCCCAUGAUUGUGAGUGAGCGACUAUCGGUACUGCAAGCCAUCUUAAAAAAAAAAUUACUCUCACGCUUGCAUAAGCCUCCGACAAGUCGCCCAUCAGUCAGACUAGCUAUUUACAACAUAUACGCUUUCCUCUUCUGUUUUCUCCCUGGAAAUGCCCACGCUAUAAUUAUGCACACCCUCAGAAGCAUCAACAUUUAAUUGUGCCCUUUACACUGCCUUCCUAUGAGUAUAGAAAGGCCCAUAACAAAAAGCAGGAACUUCUUUAGCGGAUAGCUGUUGAUGCACGGCUUUGUUUUCCUAUUGGAUUAGAGCAUAGCUACGGACUUUGCAGAGACUUACUUUCAAAGUGUACGAGCAGCCGUUAUUGUCGGGAAUUAAUUGCACUUAUUUUCUGAAGCUGUACAGCCGUUUUGGAUCAUGCUGCAUGAAGUUGAAGCUUCCUGGUCAACCUGCAGCUGUAAAAGUGGGAGAGUGCUCACCCUCCUUGCGCUAUGGUUCCGGCACCCUUGAUGGACAGGACUAUGGAAGUGGAGGGAGAGUGCAAACACUACAGUACAGUUGGGAAAGACCCAGAGACAGGAUGCCGAGAACAACCCAGACUUUAUGGACUGAGAAAAAUAAAUUAAUUAAAACAAAUCAAUAUAUAAAAAUUGCACCUUUUAUAAGGCCGCUCUGUAUGGAGCCCUAGGCACUCAACUACUUUGCCUAUGCCUAAGACCGGCUGUGACCCAAGAAUGUGAUAAAAAAGCCUUUUAGUACCAAAUGGAUCAAGUUAUGUGACUGGACCAGAGAUUGUGAUAUCAUAGCCAUUCUGUACCAAAUGUGUGAAGCUCUGUCACUGUACCCAAGAAUGUGAUAACAUAGCACCUCUGAUUGUAAAGGGUUAAAUCUUACCCUUCUGAUGGUGCAUGCACAUGUGAGACAGGAAGGUUUGUGUAUUUGAAAGAGAAUGUUUUUGCUGAACAAGCAAGUCAGCUGGAACACUAAAACAGUUACAAAUGUUUCUACCCAUUAUAUCUGAAGCAGCAUUCUUUCUACUUGUUUUACCACAGAGUCAAAAAUUUUGUUUAAAGUACUGCUAAUUUAUUUCAGUACAACUGAUGUAUUUUAUAAUUGAUAUUUACAACUGAUCUAAUGAAUAACCAUAUUGUACAAUGUACUAGUAAACAAUUUCUUAUUGGUCAACAGCA